rnacentral:rRNA from 1 species
UACGGAGGGUGCAAGCGUUAUCCGGAUUCACUGGGUUUAAAGGGUGCGUAGGUGGGCAGGUAAGUCAGUGGUGAAAUCUCCGGGCUUAACCCGGAAACUGCCAUUGAUACUAUCAGUCUUGAAUACCGUGGAGGUAAGCGGAAUAUGUCAUGUAGCGGUGAAAUGCUUAGAUAUGGCAUAGAACACCAAUUGCGAAGGCAGCUUACUACCCGAAUAUUGACACUGAGGCACGAAAGCGUGGGGAUCAAACAGG